UAAAAACAUAAUUUCCUCCCCUCAUUUGGUGUGUAAGUUACGUUCUUCCUGAUUGAGUUGCCUUCCUUGUCUGAUUAACCUCAUUUUACUUUUCAGACUUUGCUCUCUUGCAUCUCCUCCAGAAAACUUCCCCAAUGGCUAAGAAUUUUCCUCUUUUUUCAAACUUGAGAAGCAAAAGUGCUGUAACAAUUGAGAAACUAUUCAGAGGAAGAAUGCCAACUUUUGACAAGUCAACUUUUAUCUUACUGAAGGGACCAGAAGAUAUCAUCAGAUGAAAGGAAAAUUGAUGAUUGAUGAGGCCUUUGGCACAAAAAGUCAUAUCUAGGUGUGCUGCCUGAUUCGGGUCACCCACUUUCUCUCUACUCUACCCACUACUCCAACUCAAUGCUCAUAAAACAUUCCUCUGAUAAUUAGUCUUGCAUAGCCUGUUAGUUAAUUCACAAAUGAUUGUAACUAUCGCCCUCUUUUUUUUUCUCUCUCUCUUAUUAAUUGGCUCUCUUGGGCUGGCUAUGUGGU
rnacentral:lncRNA from 1 species